UGGGUCUUGGCUUCUGGUGUUUAUUACUGU
rnacentral:piRNA from 1 species